CUUCUGCGAGGGCGCGAGGACUCCAGGAGCCGUCCUGGUUCGAGCAUUUCUGAAGAAACUGAGUUCCCGGCGUUCGCAGCCUGGGAGUCACAGGCGCCCACCCACCGGUAGGUCCUUGAGUUUCGAGAGCCAGUAGCUGAAGGAGAGAGGAGAGGCAAGUGCCUACAACUCCCAGAGCACUGCGCGGAGGCGCCCGGCCGCGCUGUCCUGGCCGCCAGGCUGCCUCUCCCGCUGGGGGCCGCCGCGCUGUCUGCGGGCUACUAGCGCCGGGCCCCUCCGCGUCGCCACGCCUGCCCUUCACAGCCUUGGCCCAUAAGGUCACCGAGGGGCGGGAGGCGCCGCCCGGGCCCUCCUUGGAGGCGGGCGCUGCUCCCGCACCAUCCUCCCCCAGUUCUCUUAGACUCCGGGGUACUUUGGAGGCCGAGACAGACACGCUGUCCCUGCUGCCACGGAGGUCCCUGCUUGCAGGUGCAGGCUGUUAGAGGAGAGGGUCUGAAAACAAGAAAGGGGAAUAGCUGUAUGAUAACUGCUUGAAGGCGAGAGGGCCCAGCGACAGCUCUGUUUUAGACAGGGCCUCCAGGCCUCUUAGACUCAGUCCCUGCCACGCACCCACUCCUGCCCUGGCCGCUGCGACGGCAUAAUCUCGGGAUCUUUGAAGGCAGAUGCGGGGCUAAACCAUCCCACCUGACGGGAACCCUGCCACAGGACCCGACAUAUCCCUGUCUGGACACUGCUGUAACGAGUCAAAGUCAGGAAGGACUAACUGGAGCCCAGAGAUUCCCAGGUGCUGCUGCCUCAGACCUGUGGACUCUUUGGAGGAUCUCUUACAGUUUGUGAACUUCUCAGUUCCUCUACUGCUCCCACAGACAACGUUGCUAAACAUAUUAAUUGGUCCCAUAAAUACUUGAGCAAAACAAAUGCGAAAAUCUGUCCCGAAUUCAGCCUAGAAGAAGCCCAGCCCUGCGCGUCACACUUCUGUGUAGUGGAACCCCCCUUCCCACCCCGCCGCAGGCCACAGCAGGAGGGCCAGCAGACGGAAAGGCGACCCUCUCCUUGUUGAGGAUUCCUUUCGAUUUCCUUCCAGCUGACAUUCUACCACAGUUUUAGCUGCUUGCAAUCCUCUCACCGUCCCUCAUCACCUACAGUGUGUGAUUCAAAUUCCUUAGCACAAUCAAGAAGCCCCUCCUUAGUUUGGAAGUUGCCUAGCUCUCCAAAUUCAACUGCCUACCUUUCCCGUCUGGAACUUGCCAGGCUAGUAAAUUCAGAGGGUUUGCAGAUACGUAGAUGUUCUAUGCUUUACCUAAAAUGCUUUUACCUCCCAGCCAACUUUUUUUUUUUUUUUUGAGACAGAGUCUUGCUCUGUCGCCCAGGCUUGAGUGCAGUGGUGCGAUCUUGGCUCACUGCAACCUCCGCCUCCCAGGUUCAAGCAAUUCUCCUACCUCAGCCUCCUGAGUACCUGGGAUUACAGGUGGUGCCACCACACCCAGCUAAUUUUUGUAUUUUUAGUAGAGACGGGGUUUCACCAUGUUGGUCAGGCUGGUGUCCAACUCCUGACCUCAUGAUCCAUCCCCCUCAGCCUCCCAAAGUGCUGGGAUUUACAGGCAUGAGCCACGGUGCCCAGCUCUCCCAGCCAACUUUUGUCCUUCAAGACCUUGUACCUGUCUGGUCUCUAAAAAGUACCUGGCCUUCCUGUUGAGUCAUACAGCCCUGCCUCCAAGUGUCAGCGUAGUUCAUGCUGGAGACCUCUUAACAGUUCCAUGGUAUGACACUGCGGAUAUGGCUGUCUUUUCUUUGUAUCAGUGUGGUGAUUCAGAGGGUAUACUAGGGAUUCUAGAACGCACUUCUGGCUCAGGGGCUGCUUGUGUAACUUCUGUUUCUCAGCUGCCUGGUUUGUAUCAUGGGAUGAUAGUAUCUCCCCUCAGAGGAUUGCGGUAUUUCAUGAGGUGAUACGUGUAUGGAGGCCAAGUGCUGUUUUAUAUUUUAAGUGAUCUACAUCUUGAUUUUCACAACAACUGUAUAAAAGUGAUACUGUUGGCCAGGUGCGUUAGCUCACGCCUGUAAUCCCAGCACUUUGGGAGGCCAAGGCGGGUGGAUCACCUGAGGUCAGGAGUUCAAGACCGGCCUGGCCAGCAUGGUGACACCUCGUCUGUACUAAAAAUACAAAAAUUAGCCGGGCAUCGUGGCACACGCCUGUAAUCCCAGCUACUCGGGAGGCUGAGGCAUGAGAAUCAUUUGAACCCGGGAGGUGGAGGUUACAGUGAGCUGAGAUCGCACGACUGCACUCCAGAAUGGAUGACAGAGCAAGACUCUGUCUUAAUAAUAGUAUCACUUUUUUUUUUAAUCAACAAUCUCAUUUUGUAAAUGAGGAAAUCAACUUACAGACGACCUGAGUGACUUGCUCACACUGCCAGCCAGGAAAGUGCUAGGAUUUGAGCCCAGACUGUCCAGUUACAGAGAUUACACUCUGCCAUUGUGCCUCUCCAGAAGCACUGGAGGUAGGUCUAGUGCAUAGAGUAAAUGUAAAUGCUGAAACAACUGUGGCCCUAAUGAACAUCCCAUUUCUCCAGCUUUUUACUCUCCCCUUAACUUCUGAAUGACCGUCUGCUUCUAAUCUGCCAACUUGGUCUAAGAUCCUCACGGUGUUUCCUCCUGAUUACUGUUAAUGCACGGAGGUUGUCUGGAAGGUUCAUAGGCAGCCUGAUUGACUCAGUAUGUAUUAGCUGAGCACCUUUGGAGGGCACAGCCUGAGUGGUGGGAAUUAGUUCCUGGGGGCUGUCCUGCGGUGGAGACUCCCGUGAGCCCUCUGUCCUGCUGUAUGAAGGCAGCCAGUGGAAAGGCAUGUCCUCGCUGGUGCUCAAAGUAAUCUGCUACUUCUCUUACUACACUUUUCAUUCAUUCAUUCUUAAAUCGUUGAAGGCAUACUCUGCAGGUACUCUUGGGCACAGAGAUACGGUGUUUAGUAAGACAAACACUGUUCCUGGGUCUUAACGGGCUUUACAUUCCAAUGGGAUAAACAACUUAAGUAAAUAUUUUCAGAGAGGAGUACCAAGAAGAAAAGGAACAGGAUGAUAUAAUGGAGUGACUUGGAGAUCACAGGUGGUAAGAGGUCACUCUAAAAAGGUAACAUUUGAAGGCUGGGCACAAUGGCUCACACCUGUAACCCCAGCACUUUAGGAGGCUGAGGAAGGAGGACAGCUUGAGUCCAGGAGUUUGAGGCCAGCCUGGGCAACAUGGGGAGACCUUGACUCUACAAAAAAUUUAAACAUUAACUAAGUAUGGUGGCACGUGCCUGUAGUCCUAGCUACUGGAGAGGCUGAGGUGAGAGGAUCUCUUGAGCCCAGGAGUUUGAGACUGCAGUGAGCUAUGUUUGUAUUACUACACUCCAGCCUGAGGGACAGAGUGAGACCCUGUCUCUUAAAAACGAAAACCCGACUGUAUCAAAAGGUAACAUUUGAGUGGGACUUGAAAGAGUGUGCAUGCGAAGGACUGAAGACAGAAUGUUCUGUGCAGAGCGAAUUAAUGCAAUGGCUUUGCAGUGCAGAUGGGCCUGGGGUGGUCCAAUAAGGUUAGGACCAAGGUGGCUGGAGCAUCAUGAGACAAGCGUGGUACUUAGCUUGCCUUUGGUUAAGUCACUUUCUCUAUUUGAAUUUCAGUUUCUCACCUGUAAAAUAUGAGUAAUUUUAUCUGUAUUAGCCAGUGUGUAAUUAGAGGAAAAACCAUUUAAUACAGGGUAUUGUUUACAAAGGUGUUGGAAGGGCAUGAGAAACAAGGGGAGAACAAGGGCACCCAAAGCCUGACCCCCACAAGGCUAGAGGAGCAACAGGAAAAUUCGUUUCCAGAGACUGAUUCCUCAGCUGCUGAGCAGGAGCCUGGAGCCACACUUGCUGCCUGGUACUACUGACACACAACUGGAACCACCGCUGUGGCCUGGGGUGCCACCAGAAGCCAGAGAUUAGAAUUGCUUUCCCCAUCUCAUAUCUUCCAAACUCCCACCAGUGCCUCCCACUGGCUGAGUCAGAUGACAAGGGAGUCUGGGAAAUGUAGUUGUUUGGCUUCCAGCCCUGACCAUGGAGAGUAUAGAAAGGCAGGUGUAGGGGAGAAAAUAGAUGCCAUUCACACAGCGCCUAUCUUGCAGGGCUGUUUUGAGGAGUAAAAACUCAGCCUAUUUUUAUUCCUCAUAGCAUGUAGUAGCAUUCAGGGAAAGGCAAAUCUUCCAAAACAAUAUCUUAGGUAUAAUAGUUCUACAUAAAGGUUUGAAUUUACCAUUAAAAGCAUCAAAAUGAGCAUUUUAAAAGUAGAAUUUUAAGUCUGAAUGGGCAGUAUAUUCACAUGGUAUAAAAUUCAAAUUACAAAACAAUAUACAGUGAAAAAUAAGGGGGUUUUUUUGCUCAUCUUCUUGUGACCUGGCUCUUUCCAUCUCUGUCCACAACCCUCUGCAGGCAAUAACUGGUACCUUUGUUAUGGAUCCUCUGCAGAUAUAAAGUAGACAUAUAUUAACAAAUGUUUUCUUUGGCCCAGAGGAUGCAUAUUAUGCACAUUCCUCCAUUUCUUGUUUGUUUUUGUUUUUUCCACUUAAUUGUAUCUUGGAGAUCACUCUGUAUCAGUAUAUAUCUGAUUUGUUUUAGCAGUACAUGAUAAUCCAUUGUUUGGAUAUGCCAUAAUUGUAUCAGCCAGUCUCUGGACAGUCUUUUACUAUUUCAAGGAGUGCUGCAGUAAACAUGUUUGCGCCACUUCCUGGUACCCAUUGCAAAUAAAACUGGGAUAAUUUCCUGACGAGAACUUGCUGGGUCAGAGUGUAGGCACUUGUUGUUUUGAUAAAUAUUGCCAGACUACACCCCACUCCCUCCAGCAGUACAUGACACUGCCUAUUUCCCCACAGCUGUGCCAGCAUGGUCUGUUAGCAAGUGUUUUCUUUUUGCAAAUUUAAAAGUGGUAUCUCGCUAAAUGCAAUAUGGUAGCAGAGGACAUUUGUGGAAAAACAGGUGAAAUCUGGGCUGGGUGUGGUGGCUCAUGCCUAUAAUCCCAGCACUUUGGGAGGCCGAGGCAGGCGGAUCACAAGGUCAGGAGUUCGAGACCAGCCUGGCCAAUAUAGUGAAACCCCGUCUCUACUAAAAAUACCAAAAAAAGUUAGCUGGGCAUGGUGGUGCAAGCCUGUAAUCUCAGCUACUCGGGAAGCUGAGUCAGGAGAAUCGCUUGAACCUGGGAGGCGGAGGUUGCAGUGAGCCAAGAUCAUGCCACUGCACUCCAGCCUGGGUGAUGGAGUGAGACUCUGUCUCAAGAAAGGAAAAAAAAAACAAAAAACAGGUGAAAUCUGAAUGGGGUCUUGAGUUCAGUUAAUAGUAACUGCCAAUGUUGGUUCUUAGUUUUGACACAUACCAUGACUAUGUGAGAUGUUAAUGUCAGGGGAACCAGGAUGAAGGCUAUACAGAACUGUACUAUUUUUGCGACUUCUCUGUACAUCUAAAAUUAUCCUUAAAAAGGUUUCUUUAAAAAAUGACAUCUUGUUUUCUGUAAAAUUUGAAUUUCUCAUGAGUGAAAUGGAACGUUUUGAAUAUGAUGCUCUUUUUAAAAGGUGGCCUUAAUAAUUUGUAUUUACUAAGGAAAAAAGUCAGAGUUUAUUUACUUUAAAAAAAUUCAGGCCGGGCGUGGUGGCUCAUGCCUGUAAUCCCAGCACUUUGGGAGGCUGAGGCGGGCGGAUCACGAGGUCAGGAGAUCAAGACCAUCCUGGCUAACAUGGUGAAACCCUGUCUCUACUAAAAAUACAAAAAAUGAGCCGGGCGAGGUGGCAGGCGCCUGUAGUCCCGGCUACUCUGGAGGCUGAGGCAGGAGAAUGGCGUAAACCCGGGGGGUGGAGCCUGCAGUGAGCAGAGAUUGCGCCACUGCACUCCAGCCUGGGGGACAGAGCGAGACUCCGUCUGAAAAAAAAAAAAAAUUCAUUAACAGUACAUUUAAAAUUUCUGUUACUGGAGAUUGUAUUUCUCAUUCCAUCCAUUAAUGUGCAGCUUCAAUGUUUUCCCCCAGAUAUGCAAUUUCACUUACAGGAUCUUGUUCUUCAGUGACAUGUCAUAAGAGUUAAUAAUUCCACAAGCCACCCUGCACUGCUGUGAUCCUAACAAUAUUGAAAGGUUGGUGUGUAUCCUUUCCUACCUUUCCUCAUUCUAAAAUGUUUCCUCGUUCUAAAUGCCAAGCUGGUUUUGAACAACUGACCUCAGGUGAUCCACCUACCUUGGCCCCUCAAGGUGCUGGGAUUAUAGGCAUGAGCUAACAUGCCCAGCCCUAAUCUGCUCUUCUUAGAUGGAUACUUGUCAGAUUGGGUUAAGACCCACUCUCAUGGCCUCAUUUUAACUUAAUUUUCUCUUUAAUAAAAGUCCAAAUGCAGUCCAUUCUGAAGUACUGGGAGGUUAAGAUUGUGUUAUUUGAAUUGAAGUGAGGGUGAGGGGCAGGGGCACACAACUCAGCCCAUAACACGUAGGAUUAAAAAAAUUCUUCGGGUCCGGGGAGGUGGCUCACACCUAUAAUCCCAGCACUUUGGGAGGCCAAGGUGGGAGGAUCACUUGAGCCCAGGAACUGGAGGAUGCAGUGAGCUAUGACUGCACCACUGCACUCCAGCCUGGGUGACAGAGUGAGACCCUGUCUCAAAAAAUAAAGUGAAGCCUCAGCCUCAGCAUACAGUGAGGCAGUGUGUGUGUGCAGUGAAUCGAAGUUCCAGUCAUCAUUACUUCAUUUCAGGGCUCCACACUGCCAUCUGGGCAUCCCCAGGCCUCUCUGGACUGGCCCUGCCCCACCCUCAUGGAGGUAGCCUUUACCUGGCAGGCACCUCAGAGGCUGGUCCUAUAUGUCACAUCAUUGAGAUAAAAAGAAAUCCAAGGCUGGAAGCAGUGACAAAUGGUGUGGACUUGGUGGAAGUUGCCCAGGGAGAUGGAUGAGAAUGGUGACAUCACACAUAGCACGGCUUUUUCUCCAAAAUCCCAGGACUUACCACAGUGGCCACACUCUGUCUCUCACCUGUUCACUUUCUUCUGCUCGCUCGCUCUCUCUCAGCCUCCCCUGUCCCACCUUUUCCAUAUGCGAAGACUCUCCCCCAGCACCCCUGUGGUGGUUUAAAAGCAUGGCAGCAAACUCCUCGGCAUUCCUUCCUUCAGGGUGGUGCCUAAGUCCCCUCCCAGGGAAUCUGAGUGGGCCUAUAACUGCUUCAGUCAGCAGGGUGUAGAGGAAGUGAUGCUGAAUGACUUUUAAGGUUGGCUCCUAAAAGGCCAUAGAGGCUCUGUCACUGGAGCUCCCUGUGCUGUGAUGGAAGUCUGAAGUCUUAAUGCUGAAGAAGCCCAAGCCAUGUGGAGAGGCCAGGUGUCAAAGCUCUAGUGAGCAUCACAGCUGAGCAGGGACAGGGCCCUCUGCUUCUUGUGGAGCCCUCUCUAGAUUCCCCACACACAGAAUCCACAAGCAGAAUGAAGUGGCUGUGAUUUGAUGCCCCUGGUUUCCUUGUUAUGCAGCAGUAGAUCACUGAAAUCAACCCCCUUCUAAAGGCCUCUCUGCAGACAUUCUCCACUUGGUGAGACCAAAGCUAGCCUAACAGGGCUCAGCAGCAGAGAAGCCCAGCCAUUGGCCAAAAAAGCCACUGGCUACCAUGCAGCCAGGAUGUCCUUGGGGAGCCUUGAUCUAUCCCACCACAUCAACAUUUCCACCUCAGACAUGGGAAAGGCACCAAGGUGUGAGCAUGGGCAGUACUCCUAGGGAACCCCAAGCACACCCCAUUGCCCCAAGAUGCAAAUGGAACUCCUCACUGGUCCCAUAGUUUUACAAUGUGAGUCUAGGAAAGCACAGAUGAGCCCUCUUUUAUGUUAUUGUCCGCCUUGGCGGAGAAUGGAAACAGCAAGAAUGCUGAGCUUGUGGUGCAGACUUGGAGAUGCAUUUGUCACUAGAACCUUAGCGCGUGCUUGUACAACCCUGGUGGUGGAGAGAUGAAUGGACGAGGCCCCUCCUUUCCAUAGCUCAUGUGGCCAGCCCCUCAUCUAAGGCAGGGGCCAAAACAGAGCAGGAAUGUGGAAGGGUGGCCAGCUGUCCUGGCUUGCCUGGGCCUGAGGGGAGUCCCAGGGCAUGGGAUUUUUAGUUUUAAUAUUGGGAGAGUUUUGGGCAAACUGGGCCAAGUUGGUCACAUGAGGGUGUGGCAAGCAAGGCAAAGAUGGUUUGAUCAUUGCAGCCCCUCACUUCCCAUAGCUCACUGCAGAGCCUGUGUCAUCCUGACAACAACGAUGUGGAAGGUGAGACAUCUGGCAGCAUUUUGACUUCAUGAACUGGGAAACGCACAUGGGUGGAGGCGCCUGCCCACGCUGCCCAGUGUCUCAUGGUGGCCACAAGAGGCUGCGGCUCCUGUUGCUCAAACAGGGCCCUGUUCUUGUCCAGCAUUUCCACAGCAAGGCCCCUGCUCACACCAGACACUUCCAGGGAACCCUUGGCCAGAUGACAGCAGUUGCUCUGGUAGUUAACGUUAUGGGAAACAGAUUCUAGGAAGCGCCCAUGCAUCGCAUCACACUUUUUCAUCUCUCCUUCUGUCCAUCCUUCUGCCCACUCCUAGUUAGGGCAUGUGUGCUCCAGGCUGGGAGCCAGGGCAGCCUCAUGGGUCAGCCCCAUCCGCAAGGAACCCAUGUCUGGGGAGACAGGCAUUCAAGAAUGAGAUAUUUUCAGGUGAGUGCUAGGCAGGCGAUAUCACUGAACAUACUUAGGGGUGAGUGGGGAAGGAGGUCUACCUAGGUAAGGAGGUAUGUGAGUCUGUCCUAGCCAAAUACCACAGACUGGGUGGUUGAAACAACACAGUUCCUGCUCACAGUUCUGCAGGCUGAAGUGCAAGAUCAAGGUGCUGGCAGAUCCCGUUCCGGCUGAAGGCAGAUGUCUGCCUUCUUGUGUCCCCACAUGGCUGAGAGACACAGAGAGUUCUCUCCUUAUAAGCAUACCCUUUCUGUCAGAUUAAGAUGCCACCCUGUGGCCUCAUUGCACCUUCGUUGCCUCCUAAAAGCCCCGUUUCCAAGUACAGUCCCAUUCUGAGGUCCUGGGAGUUAGGUCCUUAACACAGGAAUUCUAGGCGGACACAAUUCAGUCCCUAGCACCCCCGUUCCCAGUUGGAUCAAGGCCUCAAAAUGAAGACAGGCUUGUCUCACCUCACCUGUCCCUCUUCUGAGAAGCUGCAAGACUGAGAGGGAGCUGGAGAUAAUAGGUUGAUUUGGGACAAGGACACUACAGGGUGAGGACAUGGCUCUGUGUCCCAAGGUUUUGGGGCAGCAGACUGGUGGAGGACCAUGCUCAAGGGUUCUGAAGGGGAGCAGCUUCCUUGGCAGCCCGAGGCCCAAGACACAGAGGGCAGAGCACACAGAUACGAGCUGGGGCUGGAUACAUUGCUGACUCUGGGUAGAAGGCGAUGGAAAUGAGGGUCUGACGCUAUGUUCAAUCCUGUCCCACCCUAUGUGAUGGCUGGAGGGACAAGGGAACCCCAGUAGGAUGAUGGAUUCCUAGGGGUUGCAAAAGGAAUGGGCAGGGCCAGCCAUCACUGAGACAGCACCCAGGCGGUCUCGUAGGUUUUGCUUAGAGACUGUGUGCUCCACUUGCCAUUGCCAGGAGAGGCAUCCACCCAGGCGUCCAUGAAUACAUGGAUACACACAAGGAGGUGCAGCCACAUGAUACAAUGUGAUUCAGCUAAAGGAGAGUGGAGCUCCGGUCCAUGGACCUUGCGGAGGCACCUUGAGAACAUUGUUCCGGGUGAAAGAAGCCAGACACAAAAUAAAAUAUUGUAUGGUUACAACAAUGUGGAAAUGUCCAGAACAGGCACAUCCACAGAGACAGAAACCAGAUGUGUUACUGCCAGGGGCUGGGGGCAGGAGGGAAAAUGGGGAUGGCUUCUCGGGGGAAUGAGGUUUCUUUUGGGAGAUGAGAAUGUUUUGGAAGUAGAUAGAGGCGAUGGCUGUGCCACAUUGUGGAUGCACCAAAUGCAACUGAAUUGUACUCUGAAAUGAUUAAUUGUACAUUGUGUGAAUUUCACCUAAAUUUAAAGAAAAAGGUGACCAUGAGAGCAAAAUCUGUCCCAGCCAUGGAAACCCCCGGGCUCACCUGGGUACACUUAAACCGAACUCUCUGGCCCCUUGCUGGUCUACCUCCCCAGCCCAGACCAACAAAUAGCAGGUCCUGGAGAUAUCUGGGCAGCAUCCACACAUCAUUUCCAUAGAGCACAUGCCAGGGGCCCUGGCAUGAGUGGGACAGAGAUGAGGGAGACCACCGCAGAGAGCCACAGGAUAGAUACUGUGCUGCUCACAAAGGUCCUUUAAAAUUUUCCA
rnacentral:lncRNA from 1 species